AUGUUGACCAAGGCAGUGGUGUCCCUCCUCUUCCUCUUGAGCGUCUCCCGCUGCGGGACGUCGUGGCAGAGCUACGAUGCGAUAUACAACUUCGGCGACUCCAUCUCCGACACCGGCAAUCUCUGCACGGGCGGCUGCCCGUCGUGGCUCACCAUGGGCCAGCCGCCGUACGGAACCAGCUACUUCGGCCGCCCGACCGGACGCUGCUCCGACGGCCGCGUCGUCGUCGACUUCCUCGCUCAGUUCUUCGGUCUGCCACUGCUUCCGCCGUCCAAGAGGAACGGCACCGACUUCAGGAAAGGCGCAAACAUGGCCAUCAUCGGCGCCACCGCCAUGAACCUGGACUUCUUCCAGUCUCGCGGCCUGGGCAGCAGCAUCUGGAACAACGGGCCUCUGGACACGCAAAUCCAGUGGUUCCAGCAGCUCAUGCCUUCCAUCUGCGGCGGCGCCAGCGAUUGCAGGAGCCACCUGAGCAACUCCCUGUUCAUCUUGGGCGAGUUCGGGGGCAACGACUACAACGCGCCGAUCUUCGGCGGCAAGAGCCUCGACGAGGUGUACACCUACGUGCCACACAUCGUCAACAAGAUCACAAGCGGCGUAGAGACGCUGAUCGGGCUGGGCGCGGUGGACGUGGUGGUGCCGGGCGUGCUGCCGAUCGGGUGCUUCCCGCUGUACCUGACCCUGUACGGGAGCUCCAACCAGAGCGACUACGACGGGGACGGCUGCCUUGAGCGCUUCAACGACCUGUCCCGCUACCACAACCAGCUGCUCAAGCAGGGAAUUUGCAGCCUCCAGAGCAAGUACGCCGGCGUGAGGCUCAUGUACGGCGACUUCUACACCCAGGUCACCGAGAUGGUGCGUUCUCCCCGGAGCUUCGGACUGGAAUACGGCCUGACUGUUUGUUGUGGCGCGAGCGGCCAAGGGUCCUACAACUACAAUAACAAAGCGAGGUGUGGCAUGUCUGGCUCAAGCGCCUGCAAGGACCCUCAGCAUUUUUGUCCUCAGAACUACUUGAACUGGAACGGCAUCGCCUACCGUUCCAUCGCGUACGGGUGGCUCACAGGGCCCUACUGUGUGCCCGCUAUUCUGCAUUGA
rnacentral:rRNA from 1 species